GCUCAGGACGAACGCUGGCGGCGUGCUUAACACAUGCAAGUCGAACGAUGAAGCUGGAGCUUGCUCUGGUGGAUUAGUGGCGAACGGGUGAGUAACACGUGAGUAACCUGCCCUUGACUCUGGGAUAAGCACUGGAAACGGUGUCUAAUACCGGAUACGAGCUUCCGCCGCAUGGUGAGGAGCUGGAAAGAAUUUCGGUCAAGGAUGGACUCGCGGCCUAUCAGCUAGUUGGUGAGGUAAUGGCUCACCAAGGCGACGACGGGUAGCCGGCCUGAGAGGGUGACCGGCCACACUGGGACUGAGACACGGCCCAGACUCCUACGGGAGGCAGCAGUGGGGAAUAUUGCACAAUGGGCGAAAGCCUGAUGCAGCAACGCCGCGUGAGGGACGAAGGCCUUCGGGUUGUAAACCUCUUUUAGUAGGGAAGAAGCGAAAGUGACGGUACCUGCAGAAAAAGCACCGGCUAACUACGUGCCAGCAGCCGCGGUAAUACGUAGGGUGCAAGCGUUGUCCGGAAUUAUUGGGCGUAAAGAGCUCGUAGGCGGUUUGUCGCGUCUGCUGUGAAAACUGGAGGCUCAACCUCCAGCCUGCAGUGGGUACGGGCAGACUAGAGUGCGGUAGGGGAGAUUGGAAUUCCUGGUGUAGCGGUGGAAUGCGCAGAUAUCAGGAGGAACACCGAUGGCGAAGGCAGAUCUCUGGGCCGUAACUGACGCUGAGGAGCGAAAGCAUGGGGAGCGAACAGGAUUA
rnacentral:rRNA from 1 species